rnacentral:rRNA from 1 species
AAUUGGAGGGCAAGUCUGGUGCCAGCAGCCGCGGUAAUUCCAGCUCCAAUAGCGUAUAUUAAAGUUGUUGCAGUUAAAAAGCUCGUAGUUGAAUUUCGGGAUUGACACAUCGGUCGUGCCUUAAGGGGUAUGAACUGGUGUAGUCAAUUUCUCACCUUCUGGAGAACCGCGAUGCCCUUAAUUGGGUGUCACGGGGAACCAGGACCUUUACUUUGAAAAAAUUAGAGUGUUUAAAGCAGGCAUUUUGCUUGAAUACAUUAGCAUGGAAUAAUAAAAUAGGACGGCAUGAUUCUAUUUUGUUGGUUUCUAGGAUCACCGUAAUGAUUAAUAGGGAUAGUUGGGGGCAUUAGUAUUCAAUUGUCAGAGGUGAAAUUCUUGGAUUUAUUGAAGACUGACUACUGCGAAAGCAUUUGCCAAGGAUGUUUUCAUUAAUCAAGAACGAAAGUUAGGGGAUCGAAGACGAUCAGAUACCGUCGUAGUCUUAACCAUAAACUAUGCCGACUAGGAAUCAGACGAUGUUAAUUUUUUAAUGACUCGUUUGGCACCUUACGGGAAACCAAAGUGU